CAUGUAGGCGGAUUAAUAAGUUUGAAGUGAAAUCCUAUAGCUUAACUAUAGAACUGCUUUGAAAACUGUUAAUCUAGAAUGUGGGAGAGGUAGAUGGAAUUUCUGGUGUAGGGGUAAAAUCCGUAGAGAUCGGAAGGAAUACCGAUUGCGAAGGCGAUCUACUGGAACAUUAUUGACGCUGAGAUGCGAAAGCGUGGGGAGCAAACA
rnacentral:rRNA from 1 species